UAAGAGGCCUUUGCAUAAAGCAUGUCAUCGAUUUUUGGAGAAUUUUGACCUCUCGUGUGAUGCGUGCUCCAUUUUAUAAUUAAAAUAGGAAGGAGAGGACCCUUAGCACUUACCUUAGCUUCCCCCUAAAUCGACCACAUGCUUUGUGCAUAGUCCCAUUAAAAAGAAAAUUAACUCAUGAGCACAAAUACAUUUUUAUAUACUUCUGACAUGAAACAAUGAGUCACCCAAAAUGUUUUCUCGACCAUAUAUAAAGCAAUGCCAUUUCGUUUGGAAGAUAUAGUAAAUUCACAGAUACAUACACAAACGUGCAUCAUUUCCUGAAGCAUCGUGUCGAAAGGGAAAAAAUGUCUCACUUGAGUGAAAGAGAAGUCUUAGCGAAGACCAUUUACGCCGAGGCUAGAGGUGAGUCCGAUGAGGGACAGAGGGCCGUGGGUCACGUGGUCAAAAACCGAGCCGCAAAAAACCGCGACUACUGGGGCGGCAGUAGCAUAAAAGAGGGUGCCUCAAGGCCCAACAAUUUGCAUGUUGGAACGGAAAGAGUGACAUUGACAUCCACGAGCCCCACGCGUAUCAAAAAGCGCAGCGAAUUGCGGAUGAGGUUUUAUCAUCAAGGGAUCCUCAAAAUGACCCCACGCGAGGAUCCACGCAUUUCAACAAUCCAGACAAAGAGGACCCAGAGUGGGCGAGAAAGAUUCCGAAAACUGUUAAGAUUGGGAAUCAUCAGUUUUAUGAGUAAAUUUGAUCAAUGCACUUAUUGAUCAUCACAGUCAAAGUGUUAUAAUACGAAAAUUAUUUACUAAAAGUUGUACGCAAAAUUCCUAUUGGAUUGGAAAUAAAAAUGUUUAAGGUGUCACUGCUUGGCAAAUA